rnacentral:misc_RNA from 1 species
UAAUAAAGUGUUUUAUGGCACUUUUUAAAAAUCCAUAUCCACCUUGUGUGCAAUGUUAGAUCUUGUCAUUUAUGUGGCGAGAUUUUUAUACAUCAACUCUAUCUUUAACUAAUUUGUCUGAAAAAUAUUAUGAAUACUUAAUUCAAAAUA